CACGAAGUGUGUCGAAUGGCUGCGCCUGAGUCCUGUUGAAAGUGAAAUAUUAAUCCUUUGCCAUCUGGUAGUUUGCGAAGGGUUUCUACAAGAUUUUUUGCGCUUAAAGUGAAGAACUAUUGUGGAACAAGACUGGAAUAGGUAAAGAACGGUAAAGAAACGGCUGUGCUGGUAAGAACAUACAAGAGAAUGCCGAGAAUUUCGAUUAUGGCUCUGUCGCCAUUGUAGCGAAUGGCAGCUGGAAUUCAUAGUUGUUCAGCUUUCAGGAACAUUCUCUGCGUUAGUUUUACCCCUUACCGAGUCACUGUUAGUGUAGAUUGACAAGGAUGCUAUUAUGAACACUUCACUUGUCAAAAAAAAAUGAUGGGGAACCGCGAAUGCCUCGAUGUCAAGUGUCCUACAAUCUGCAUGCAGUGGGUAAGUACAAGAAUCGAUUCAACUGAUUCGAGCCUGUAUUAAAAUGAACCUUUUCUAUUUUGAUGAAAAUCUUUAGAAACAGGCAAACGGUUGCGCUGUUUUGGGCAGUAUUUGUGCACUAAUAAAACAGCAAUUAUAAAGUACAGACAUUCCAACUACUGAAGGUAAAAUUUAGGGCGAUAGUUCAGUGAAUUGAAAUCUAAUUCUUCUGGGGGAAAAUAAUAAAAAUUAAGUCUUCUGAAAUGGCAUUUCCUGUAUUUUGGGAAGAUGUUGUUAUAAGUGAUCCUAUAAAUUAAUUGCCAUAAAGUUAAACUUCGUAAAAAGGUCAAGACAGAUUUAUAUAAUAUUGCUAUAAAAAACAGUGUGUUUAUGAUUUUUUACGAUAUAAUUUUCCUGAAUACUCUGAAAAAUCUGGAGAAUAUGAUAAAAAUUGGAAGACCAGGAGAUUACAUGAAUAUUUGGGAGACUCGACCGUAAAAUUGGGAGAGUUGGAAUGUCUGAAAGUAGUUCAAAAUAUUUGUUAAUUUAAAUUAACCUUUGCCCUACAUUUUCUUUAUGCUUUAAAAAAGACGAAAUAAACCGGACAGUAGGCUUGAGUGGUUAACAGAUUUUUCGGUUUUGUUCGGUUUUCUUUUUGAAACCGGUUUUCAUUUCUCAGAUAACUAAAAAAUCGAGUGCCCUCUAUAUUUUGUGGGUGGAUUAUUACGGUACCGGUACACAUGUACAUAGGUGCAGUUUGUCACAUCACAUCUCUAGCAUUACACAAAAAUAUAUCUAUUCAUUGUAGGAACAAUGGGAUUGCAUAAGGAUGUUAAUUUGGCAGCGACAG